rnacentral:rRNA from 1 species
ACGCUGGCGGCAGGCCUAACACAUGCAAGUCGAGCGGUAGCACAGGAGAGCUUGCUCUCUGGGUGACGAGCGGCGGACGGGUGAGUAAUGUCUGGGAAACUGCCUGAUGGAGGGGGAUAACUACUGGAAACGGUAGCUAAUACCGCAUGACCUCGCAAGAGCAAAGUGGGGGACCUUCGGGCCUCACGCCAUCGGAUGUGCCCAGAUGGGAUUAGCUAGUAGGUGGGGUAAUGGCUCACCUAGGCGACGAUCCCUAGCUGGUCUGAGAGGAUGACCAGCCACACUGGAACUGAGACACGGUCCAGACUCCUACGGGAGGCAGCAGUGGGGAAUAUUGCACAAUGGGCGCAAGCCUGAUGCAGCCAUGCCGCGUGUGUGAAGAAGGCCUUAGGGUUGUAAAGCACUUUCAGCGAGGAGGAAGGGUUCAGUGUUAAUAGCACUGUGCAUUGACGUUACUCGCAGAAGAAGCACCGGCUAACUCCGUGCCAGCAGCCGCGGUAAUACGGAGGGUGCAAGCGUUAAUCGGAAUUACUGGGCGUAAAGCGCACGCAGGCGGUUUGUUAAGUCAGAUGUGAAAUCCCCGAGCUUAACUUGGGGACUGCAUUUGAAACUGGGCAAGCUAGAGUCUUGUAGAGGGGGGUAGAAUUCCAGGUGUAGCGGUGAAAUGCGUAGAGAUCUGGAGGAAUACCGGUGGCGAAGGCGGCCCCCUGGACAAAGACUGACGCUCAGGUGCGAAAGCGUGGGGAGCAAAC